GGUUAAGCGACUAAGCGUACACGGUGGAUGCCCUGGCAGUCAGAGGCGAUGAAGGACGUGCUAAUCUGCGAAAAGCGUCGGUAAGGUGAUAUGAACCGUUAUAACCGGCGAUGUCCGAAUGGGGAAACCCAGUGCAAUUCGUUGCACUAUCGUUAACUGAAUACAUAGGUUAACGAGGCGAACCGGGGGAACUGAAACAUCUAAGUACCCCGAGGAAAAGAAAUCAACCGAGAUUCCCCCAGUAGCGGCGAGCGAACGGGGAGCAGCCCAGAGUCUGAAUCAGCUUGUGUGUUAGUGGAACGGUCUGGAAAGUCCGACGGUACAGGGUGAUAGUCCCGUACACCAAAAUGCACAGGUUGUGAACUCGAAGAGUAGGGCGGGACACGUGGUAUCCUGUCUGAAUAUGGGGGGACCAUCCUCCAAGGCUAAAUACUCCUGACUGACCGAUAGUGAACCAGUACCGUGAGGGAAAGGCGAAAAGAACCCCGGCGAGGGGAGUGAAAAAGAACCUGAAACCGUGUACGUACAAGCAGUGGGAGCACCUUCGGGUGUGACUGCGUACCUUUUGUAUAAUGGGUCAGCGACUUAUAUUCUGUAGCAAGGUUAACCGUAUAGGGGAGCCGCAGGGAAACCGAGUCUUAACUGGGCGUUAAGUUGCAGGGUAUAGACCCGAAACCCGGUGAUCUAGCCAUGGGCAGGUUGAAGGUUGGGUAACACUAACUGGAGGACCGAACCGACUAAUGUUGAAAAAUUAGCGGAUGACUUGUGGCUGGGGGUGAAAGGCCAAUCAAACCGGGAGAUAGCUGGUUCUCCCCGAAAGCUAUUUAGGUAGCGCCUCGUGAACUCAUCUUCGGGGGUAGAGCACUGUUUCGGCUAGGGGGUCAUCCCGACUUACCAACCCGAUGCAAACUACGAAUACCGAAGAAUGUUAUCACGGGAGACACACGGCGGGUGCUAACGUCCGUCGUGAAGAGGGAAACAACCCAGACCGCCAGCUAAGGUCCCAAAGUCAUGGUUAAGUGGGAAACGAUGUGGGAAGGCACAGACAGCCAGGAUGUUGGCUUAGAAGCAGCCAUCAUUUAAAGAAAGCGUAAUAGCUCACUGGUCGAGUCGGCCUGCGCGGAAGAUGUAACGGGGCUAAACCAUGCACCGAAGCUGCGGCAGCGACACUAUGUGUUGUUGGGUAGGGGAGCGUUCUGUAAGCCUGCGAAGGUGUGCUGUGAGGCAUGCUGGAGGUAUCAGAAGUGCGAAUGCUGACAUAAGUAACGAUAAAGCGGGUGAAAAGCCCGCUCGCCGGAAGACCAAGGGUUCCUGUCCAACGUUAAUCGGGGCAGGGUGAGUCGACCCCUAAGGCGAGGCCGAAAGGCGUAGUCGAUGGGAAACAGGUUAAUAUUCCUGUACUUGGUGUUACUGCGAAGGGGGGACGGAGAAGGCUAUGUUAGCCGGGCGACGGUUGUCCCGGUUUAAGCAUGUAGGCUGGUUGUCCAGGCAAAUCCGGAUAAUCAAGGCUGAGGUGUGAUGACGAGGCACUACGGUGCUGAAGUAACAAAUGCCCUGCUUCCAGGAAAAGCCUCUAAGCAUCAGGUAACAUCAAAUCGUACCCCAAACCGACACAGGUGGUCAGGUAGAGAAUACCAAGGCGCUUGAGAGAACUCGGGUGAAGGAACUAGGCAAAAUGGUGCCGUAACUUCGGGAGAAGGCACGCUGGUGUGUAGGUGAAGUCCCUGCGGAUGGAGCUGAGACCAGUCGAAGAUACCAGCUGGCUGCAACUGUUUAUUAAAAACACAGCACUGUGCAAACACGAAAGUGGACGUAUACGGUGUGACGCCUGCCCGGUGCCGGAAGGUUAAUUGAUGGGGUUAUCCGUAAGGAGAAGCUCUUGAUCGAAGCCCCGGUAAACGGCGGCCGUAACUAUAACGGUCCUAAGGUAGCGAAAUUCCUUGUCGGGUAAGUUCCGACCUGCACGAAUGGCGUAAUGAUGGCCAGGCUGUCUCCACCCGAGACUCAGUGAAAUUGAACUCGCUGUGAAGAUGCAGUGUACCCGCGGCAAGACGGAAAGACCCCGUGAACCUUUACUAUAGCUUGACACUGAACAUUGAGCCUUGAUGUGUAGGAUAGGUGGGAGGCUUUGAAGCGUGGACGCCAGUCUGCGUGGAGCCAACCUUGAAAUACCACCCUUUAAUGUUUGAUGUUCUAACGUUGGCCCCUGACCGGGGUUGCGGACAGUGUCUGGUGGGUAGUUUGACUGGGGCGGUCUCCUCCCAAAGCGUAACGGAGGAGCACGAAGGUUAGCUAAUCCUGGUCGGACAUCAGGAGGUUAGUGCAAUGGCAUAAGCUAGCUUGACUGCGAGCGUGACGGCGCGAGCAGGUGCGAAAGCAGGUCAUAGUGAUCCGGUGGUUCUGAAUGGAAGGGCCAUCGCUCAACGGAUAAAAGGUACUCCGGGGAUAACAGGCUGAUACCGCCCAAGAGUUCAUAUCGACGGCGGUGUUUGGCACCUCGAUGUCGGCUCAUCACAUCCUGGGGCUGAAGUAGGUCCCAAGGGUAUGGCUGUUCGCCAUUUAAAGUGGUACGCGAGCUGGGUUUAGAACGUCGUGAGACAGUUCGGUCCCUAUCUGCCGUGGGCGCUGGAGAAUUGAGGGGGGCUGCUCCUAGUACGAGAGGACCGGAGUGGACGCAUCACUGGUGUUCGGGUUGUCAUGCCAAUGGCACUGCCCGGUAGCUAAAUGCGGAAGAGAUAAGUGCUGAAAGCAUCUAAGCACGAAACUUGCCCCGAGAUGAGUUCUCCCUGAGACUUUAAGUCUCCUGAAGGAACGUUGAAGACGACGACGUUGAUAGGCCGGGUGUGUAAGCGCAGCGAUGCGUUGAGCUAACCGGUACUAAUGAACCGUGAGGCUUAACCUUACAACGCCGAAGAUGUUUUG
rnacentral:rRNA from 1 species